AUGUCUAGCGCUAAACCUAGCGAGAUUGAUCCAUUUGACACUGUCUACUCAAACAUUCCAGACAGCACUCACAUCCUGAAACUCGACGAAAAUUGCAAACACUGCAAGGCCAGAAAGUUUGAGUCUGAGACUGACGGCUUCUGCUGUCGCAAUGGCCAGAUCCAGCUUAAGCAGCCGGAACCAAUCCCAGAGCUUAUGAGGCUAUGGUCCAGCAUGGAUGCAGAUUCUAGACAUUUUCGGGAGAACAUACGGUUCUUCAACGGGCAUUUCGCCUUCACAACCCUUGGUGUCAGCCUUGAUGAAAACUACACGAACAUGAAGUCUGGGGUGUAUACAUUCCGAGCACAUGGCACCAUCUACCACAAUGUCCAUUCGUUCGGGCCUAGCUCCCGUCCAGAACAUCUGCAGUUGUACUUCUUGACGACGACCCUAACCUAA
rnacentral:rRNA from 1 species